rnacentral:rRNA from 1 species
AACAGGAUUAGAUACCCUGGUAGUCCACGCCGUAAACGAUGAGUGCUAAGUGUUAGGGGGUUUCCGCCCCUUAGUGCUGCAGCUAACGCAUUAAGCACUCCGCCUGGGGAGUACGGUCGCAAGACUGAAACUCAAAGGAAUUGACGGGGGCCCGCACAAGCGGUGGAGCAUGUGGUUUAAUUCGAAGCAACGCGAAGAACCUUACCAGGUCUUGACAUCCCGCCGACCGCCUAGGAGACUAGGCCUUCCCUUCGGGGACGGCGGUGACAGGUGGUGCAUGGUUGUCGUCAGCUCGUGUCGUGAGAUGUUGGGUUAAGUCCCGCAACGAGCGCAACCCUUGAUCUUAGUUGCCAGCAUUCAGUUGGGCACUCUAAGGUGACUGCCGGUGACAAACCGGAGGAAGGUGGGGAUGACGUCAAAUCAUCAUGCCCCUUAUGACCUGGGCUACACACGUGCUACAAUGGAUGGUACAAAGGGCUGCGAACCCGCGAGGGGGAGCCAAUCCCAUAAAACCAUUCUCAGUUCGGAUUGUAGGCUGCAACUCGCCUACAUGAAGCUGGAAUCGCUAGUAAUCGUGGAUCAGCAUGCCACGGUGAAUACGUUCCCGGGCCUUGUACACACCGCCCGUCACACCACGAGAGUUUGUAACACCCGAAGUCGGUGGGGUAACCUUUAUGGAGCCAGCCGCCGAAGGUGGGACAGAUGAUUGGGGUGAAGUCGUAACAAGGUAACC